UUCUCGUAGGGGGACUAGGUCCCAUGUGAUUACCAUUGUUGCCGCAGAACGCGGCACCUACCUUGACACAGUGCUAUGAUAGCACUCUACCUGAACGGCUACCCGAGGCGGCCGGGUAACAAACCUUAUUUAUUGUAAUUGCAGCUAAUUUUGGAAUUAAUUUCAAACUCACAAGGAUUGGUUUGCAUCGAGAAGAGAGCGAAUGGAUAAGUAGAGUGAAAGAAAUUCAGAAUCAUCGAAUCUUUGAACGCACAUUGCCAUCAUAUUCAGGGCAUGCCGGAGCGUCAUUUCUCUCUCAAACCCCUGGAGUGUCUAUUAGCCAUACUGCUAGUCGGAUGGGAGCCUUGAUUUGAGUAGCUCUGAAUAAAGGCGGAUUCUGCGAAUCCUCUGUAUAAAUUUAUUCGUUUGGGAGAUGCAGUUUGCCGAAAUACAACCCCAAUUUAAUGGUUGACCUCAUCAGGUAGGAAUACCCUGAACUUAAGCAUAUCAAUAGCCGGAGGAAA
rnacentral:rRNA from 1 species